UACGAGGGGGGCGAGCGUUGUUCGGAAUUAUUGGGCGUAAAGGGUGCGUAGGCGGCUUUUUAAGUUUGGUGUGAAAUCUCCCGGCUCAACUGGGAGGGUGCGCCGAAUACUGAGAGGCUAGGGUGUGGGAGAGGAAAGUGGAAUUCCUGGUGUAGCGGUGAAAUGCGUAGAUAUCAGGAGGAACACCGGUGGUGUAAACGGCUUUCUGGACCAUAGCUGACGCUGAGACACGAAAGCGUGGGUAGCAAACAGG
rnacentral:rRNA from 1 species